AGGCGACGACGGGUAGCCGGCCUGAGAGGGUGACCGGCCACACUGGGACUGAGAUACGGCCCAGACUCCUACGGGAGGCAGCAGUGGGGAAUAUUGCACAAUGGGCGCAAGCCUGAUGCAGCGACGCCGCGUGAGGGAUGACGGCCUUCGGGUUGUAAACCUCUUUCAGUACCGACGAAGCGCAAGUGACGGUAGGUACAGAAGAAGGACCGGCCAACUACGUGCCAGCAGCCGCGGUAAUACGUAGGGUCCGAGCGUUGUCCGGAAUUACUGGGCGUAAAGAGCUCGUAGGUGGUUUGUCGCGUUGUCCGUGAAAACUCACAACUCAAUUGUGGGCGUGCGGGCGAUACGGGCAGACUGGAGUACUGCAGGGGAGACUGGAAUUCCU
rnacentral:rRNA from 1 species